GUUGAUCCAUCUGUGCUGGCAUUAUGCAGACUUUACCACAAGAGGAGAGGAUGCAUAACUAGGAACUGUUUUGUGAAUACGUAUCAAGUAAGAUGUCCACAUCCUCAGAAUUUCUCACGGGCCUGAAAAGUUCCCAGGACUCUGGACUGUGUUAUCCAUGGGUUUGGAUCAGUGGUGUGGAUGGUCCACGUUUGAACAGAGCUUGGUGC
rnacentral:lncRNA from 1 species